rnacentral:rRNA from 1 species
CGUGAAAUCGCUUAGAGGUAAACGAGUGAAGCCGAAGAUGUUUUAUGGAAUUCAGUUAACUGUGUGUCUUCUUGAAUUUGGCGAAAUCCAACUAGGAAUUGCUAUUUUUGAGUUUUAAUAUACAUGCGGUUGAUGCACUUUCUGUAUAACAGUACUGCGACCGAUAGCGUCAUUUUUCUGUCGUAAUUUUGAAGGUGAUCAUUUYCUCGGAAAUGGUUUUAUAGCUGGUUACAUGGUUAAAUGAUUUAUUGGUGAUUGCGAUUAACGGUUAUUGACUGGUUUAAUGUUGAUGGUUCUUUGAUAGACUAAAAAUAGGCUGUUUUUGAACUAUUGAUGUUUUUCAUGGUUGAUUUGUUAAUUUAAAGUCUGCAGUGUAUGUAGGUUACUUACUCGUCCCGUCUUGAAACACGGACCAAGGAGUUUUAUAUGAUCGCGAGUCAAAGGGCYUUACGAAACCCCACGGCGAAAUUAAUGUAAAGGUUUACUUCGGUAAGCUGUGAUGUGACCUCGUGGAAACACAGAGUGCAACAUCGACCCGUCUAAAGAUGUUCGCAUCUGGGCGGAGUUUGAGCGAUCAUGUAGAGACCCGAAAGAUGGUGAACUAUGCUUGUGCAGGUUGAAGCCAGGGGAAACUCUGGUGGAGGACCGCCGCGGUUCUGACGUGCAAAUCGAUCGUCGGACAUGAGUAUAGGGGCGAAAGACUAAUCGAACCAUCUAGUAGCUGGUUCCCUCCGAAGUUUCCCUCAGGAUAGCUGACAUUUGUUGUUGUAGUUUUACCUGGUAAAGCGAAUGAUUAGAAGUAUUGGGGACGAAAUGUUCUCAACUUAUUCUCAAACUUUAAAUGGGUUCGAAGUGCGUCUUUCUUCAUUGAAGAUGUGCAUCGAAUACAAAUGUCUAGUGGGCCAUUUUUGGUAAGCAGAACUGGCGAUGUGGGAUGAACCAAACAUCUGGUUAAGGUGCCUAACAUAACGCUCAUGAGAACCCACAAAAGGUGUUGUUUGAUAAAGACAGCAGGACGGUGGACAUGGAAGUCGUCAUCCGCUAAGGAGUGUGUAACAACUCACCUGCCGAAUCAACCAGCCCUGAAAAUGGAUGGCGCUGUAGCGUUGGACCUAUACCGGAUCGAUAUCGCAAGUUACAAAACGAGUAAGCGAUAUCGUGUAGGAGGGUGCCGUGGUUGCUAAGAAGCUACUGGCGUAAGUCCAGAGUGGA